UUGUAUUAACGGACCUGUGUAAGGACAAAACGGCAGGUGAAAAUAUAGCUAUUAGGAUAUUUGACUACGUUUCACAAUGAUCGUUUCUGCAGGUUUGAUAGUUUUCAGGAGAGUUGUGGACAGUGUAGAGUACUUAGUCUUGAAACAUUCUAACACGGAGGGACAUUGGUCCCCUCCUAAAGGUAAGAUAGAUCCCGGUGAAGCAUUGUUUGAUGCCGCUCUGAGAGAGACCAGAGAAGAGACUGGACUUACCGUACCACCACUCGUACUCCAUAAAGACUUCCACAACACCGUCCAUUACCAACGGAAAGGGGUACCAAAGAAAAUAGACUUCUGGCUAGCAGAAUUAUGUGAUGAUACUGAUGUGAAGCUCUCUGAGGAGCACACCGAAUUCAAAUGGUUAAAAGUCACAGAAGCUUCUGAAUAUGUUCGAUAUAAAGAAGUGGGAGGAGUCAUAAAAGAAGCUGAUGUGUUUAUACAAAAGAACAUUCUAAAACUAUAGCCAUUGACGCCAGCUUCAAAUUAUUUCGGGAGUCGUAAAUAGUCCACCAUAGCAUCGGCAUCCACGCUACACAAAUGAUACGUUUAAACUACGCAAGAACCGUGGGAUAUUCGACUUGCAAAGUCUUUUUAGAAAGAAAAUGAAAAAUGCAAAAGUGUUUUGGUGUAAAUCGGACCUACAAGGCAACAUUCUUUGAUCUCCUCAGUCAGCUGUUAUAUUGUUAAUUGAAUGCUUUAUGUGUAUAACUUAUAUUUCUUAAUUAAUGUACAGCUGUACGCAUCAUCGAUGACGAGGCUAAAAUAUGUCGGACGGAAAUAAAAAGACAAUUGACACUUUGACAAAUAUAAUACUUGUAUUAAAAGUGAAUGUUUGCAUGCUGAAAAUAACAGAUGCUUACUCUGUAAUUUAAUUGCAUAGCGUGUCUGCGGCGGCCAUGUAUUAUAGUUCUCAGCCUGUUUGAAGCGACGAAGGUCUUGCACAGUCCCAGUGUAAUAAAUUUUAAAACUAUACACCAGUUAAUAAGAUUAAAUGCGUUGUUCCAAACGAUAUCAAUUUCAAUUUUCUUUUUGUCUUGCAAUUGCAUCAUCUGCAUGGUGUCUAGUCCUUUUAAGACAGUUAGAUGACCUGAAGUUAUAUUUCAUUGAUUAAGCAGGGCUCGUCGCUCAAUCUCUGUGCCCAUUCUAAGUCAAAUGUUACUUCAGGUCAUCUAACUAUUAUUAAUACUUAAGAGUCAAUCUAAGAAGUAAUAACAAUAAACAUUUAGUGAAUAUGUAGUCGCGUAACUACAAAUUAGAUCAAAUAUAAUGAGAUCAAAUAUUGUAAAAAGCACAAAUUUGCAGCUUGGGUUCAUGUACGAUCUUUAAGUUUGUACCAAUAAGGAUGGAUAUGAUAUCAUUUAAAAGAACAAAUAUCAUCAUUGAAAGGAUCACACUUAAACAAGACUUUAAAAAUGAAAUUCGUCAGCAUGAAGGUGUAUUCACAGAAGGUACAUAAUUUUCGAUUAAUUUCAAUGCCAAAAUGGUGCCCUUUUUAUAGGCAUGGAACGGUUCAUAGUCUUAAUUUACAAAACA